rnacentral:snRNA from 1 species
GAGAAAAGAUAGGCAGCACAUAUAGUAAAACCGGAAUAAUAUGGAGACCAGCAUGGCCCCUGCCUAAGUAUGACACACAAAUUCGUGAAGCAUUUCAUCUUUUU